rnacentral:rRNA from 1 species
UCCGUAGGCGGUGCGGCAAGUCGGAAGUGAAAUCUCUGGGCUUAACUCAGAGGCUGCUUCCGAAACUGCCGUGCUCGAGUGUGAGAGAGGCGAGUGGGAUUACGGGUGUAGCGGUGAAAUGCGUAGAUAUCCGUAGGAACAUCCGAGGCGAAAGCGGCUCGCUGGAUCACAACUGACGCUGAGGGACGAAAGCUAGGGGAGCAAACAGGAUUAGAUACCCUGGUAGUCCUAGCCCUAAACCAUCAGGACUUGGGGUUUGCCCUGUACGGGGCAAGUCCCGGAGCUAACGCGUUAAGUCCUGCGCCUGGGGAGUACGGUCGCAAGGCUGAA